rnacentral:tRNA from 1 species
GACACUCUGUCCGAGAGGUUAAGGAGACUGACUUGAAUUGAUCGCAUAUCAGUUGGGAUUUCCCGCACAGGUUCGAAUCCUGUGGGUGUCG